rnacentral:misc_RNA from 1 species
AACGCACAUUGCGCCUCCUGGUAUUCCGGGAGGCAUGCCUGUUCGAGCGUCAUUAAAAACCACUCAAGCUCUUUUGCUUGGUCAUGGAAGAAGAGUUUGCUUGCAAUCUCUCCUCCGAAAUUCAAAGGCGGAAAGUCUCAGAGCCCCGGCGUAGUAAUAAUAUUUCGCUUGGAACUUGAAAUGAUCCUGCCCUUAACCCCCAAUUUAUCUAGGUUGACCUCGGAUCAGGUAGGGAUACCCGCUGAACUUAA